rnacentral:rRNA from 1 species
GUGAGGAAUAUUGCGCAAUGGACGAAAGUCUGACGCAGCCAUGCCGCGUGAAGGAUUGACGGCCCUAUGGGUUGUAAACUUCUUUUGUAUAGGAAUAAACCCUCGUUCGUGAACGAGGCUGAAGGUACUAUAAGAAUAAGCACCGGCUAACUCCGUGCCAGCAGCCGCGGUAAUACGGAGGGUGCAAGCGUUAUCCGGAUUUAUUGGGUUUAAAGGGUCCGUAGGCGGAUCGUUAAGUCAGUGGUGAAAUCCUACCGCUCAACGGUAGAACUGCCAUUGAUACUGGCGAUCUUGAGUAUGUAUGAAGUUGGCGGAAUGUGUGGUGUAGCGGUGAAAUGCUUAGAUAUCACACAGAACACCGAUUGCGAAGGCAGCUGACUAUUACACAACUGACGCUGAGGGACGAAAGUGUGGGGAUCAAACAGGAUUAGAAACCCCGGUAGUCC